rnacentral:rRNA from 1 species
UUCGAUUAAGCCAUGCGAGUCGCGAGUCUUAGGGACUCGGCGUACCGCUCAGUAACACGUGGGUAACCUGCCCUAUGCUGGGGAAUAACCUCGGAAAACUGAGAAUAAUGCCCCAUAGUUCACCACGCCUGGAACGGUGGGUGGAUGAAAGCUCCGGCGGCAUAGGAUGGGCCUGCGGCGUAUCAGGUCGUAGGGGGUGUAAUGUACCCUCUAGCCAUCGACGCGUACGGGUGUUGGGAGACAUUGCCCGGAGAUGGAUUCUGAGACACGAAUCCAGACCCUACGGGGUGCAGCAGGCGCGAAAACUUGGCAAUGCGAGAAAUCGUGACCAGGGAACUCCAAGUGCAUCGGGUAAGACCGAUGCUUUUCUUGACUCUUCAAAGGUCUUGGAAUAAGGGGUGGGUAAGGACGGUGCCAGCCGCCGCGGUAAUACCGGCGCCUCAAGUGGUAGUCGCUUUUAUUGGGCCUAAAACGUCCGUAGCCGGUUUGGUACAUUCGUGGGUAAAUCAAGGCGCUCAACGUCUUGAAUUCUGCGAGCACGGCCAGACUUGGGACCGGGUGAGGUGUGGGGUACUCUCAGGGUAGGGGUAAAAUCCUGUCAUCCUGAGAGGACCACCUGUUGCGAAGGCGCCACACUAGAACGGAUCCGACGGUCAGGGACGAAGCCUAGGGGCACGAACCGGAUUAGAUACCCGGGUAGUCCUAGGUGUAAACGCUGUGGACUUAAUGUUGGGAGUGCUCCGAGCACCCUCAGUGUCGAAGCGAAGGUGAUAAGUCCACUGCCUGGGGAGUACGGUCGCAAGGCUGAAACUUAAAGGAAUUGGCGGGGGAGCACUGCAACCUGAGGAUUGUGCG